CUACAGCCAAUUAAGCCGACCAUCCCCCUCUUCCCGUGGGGAUCUGGUGUGCAGUGGCUGUAGACAGCAGCCUCUUAGUAGUGUGUGUGGGCUCGUGCCCUAAGGGACCUGGGAGACAGCC
rnacentral:snoRNA from 1 species